rnacentral:lncRNA from 1 species
AUAUUCCAGAAACCCGAUGCUGGCUCCCUCAUUUUCCAUAGACCUCAUCUUCAGUCUCUAAAGAAGAAAACGGUGACAAGAAAUCGGAAGCCCAAUGCAGUCUGUACUCUUCAUGGAUGAACUUCUCAUGUUAAGUGCAAGUAUUUACAUGGUACAUGUCUGACAAAGGAAGCCUUACUGCAAUCGUUCCUGACUGGACAGCUCCUAUAGACAGCAUCCGUUUAUAAGUGUUUCCUUUCUGAUAUACGUUAUAGAAUACUGUAAAGAAAUUAUGAAAAUUAUAUUGAACAAAUCAAGAAGUGGUUCAAGUUUUUGAAAACCUCAAUGUAAAGUUUACAUAUUUUCAAAGUUGAAUAAUUUUACACUGGGGUGGGAAGUGAAGUAUAAAUAAACUGAGUUGUGAUAAUUUUUCAUGGAAUGAGACUGUCAGGCAGGAGCAGUUAAAUUAAUAUAUACUGUACUUUAAAAAUUAAACACUUGAGAAAUAACCUUUUUAGCCACUGGAAAAUGGCAAAGUCUAAGACAUUUCAAUCAAGUUAAUUUGGGUAUCAGAGAAAUGCAUUUUCCCACCAGAAACUAUGUGAAGAAACAAAUUAAACAAAAUGGCCCUCCGGAUGCUGGGGUAGCCCUGGGCAAGGAGCGGCACCAUUGCUUGUCAAUUAGGUUAUUAUACACACACAUUCCCUCAUUUUAAAUCACGCCAAAGCUGAACAGUCGAUGGUAUAUCAAAAUGAAGCAUGACUUGCAAUUUAAAUGUUUUUUUGUUUCUUUGUUUUAACUUUCUUUUUACUCCUGGACAAAGGGUCCUGCUGGGUUUCUCAGGUUGGGUUGGCUAAUUUCUUAGCUCCAAAGAGCCUCCUGCCUCAGUCCCCGGCACAGCAGCUGAGACUACAGGCUUGAACGCACUGUAGUAGGCUCAGAAUUUCUCUUUGACAAGCACUGACCUGGAGCAACUAGUCUAAUUCAUCUAUGUGUUCCAGGAUCUUUCCCUUGCUCACCCUGGCAUGCUAAAGUUCCUGGAACAAAUUUGAGCAGUCUUGGAAGUAGAAGAGGAGGCCAGGAGGACACUUUAACCAGCUCUGACGUUACCUCAAAGACACCAGCAUGGAGACAGAUCAGCUUUUCUGGCCACACUAGCUGCAGGGCUCAGUCUCAGACUUCCCAAGACAGGACAGUGGCAAUCUGGACAGGUUGCUUAACUCCCCCACCCCACCCCAACUUCUGUUUCUUUUGCAUGUCAAGGUCUAGCCUUGGACUGGGUCCCCAACAAAUAUGCAACAGACCCUGAGAGCUGCUCAUGAGCCCCACUACACUGCAGAAGGCGGGGAAGGCAGGCAGGCUGUCCUUAUGCUUUUGUUUUCAACACCACCUUGAGACUAAGAAACAACAGAGGUAACUUUAGGAUUCCCUUAGGAGCUGAGUGUUUUUGUUAAAUUAUUUAUUUUAUUUAUAUGAGUACACUGUCACUGACACGUCAGAAAAGGGCAUCAAAUACCAUUACAGAUGGUGGUGAGCCACUGUGUGGUUGUUAGAAAUUGAACUCAGAAACUCUGGAAGAGCAGUCAGUGCUCUUAACCACUUAGCCAUCUCUCCAGUCACGGAGCUGAGUUUUUUAAGGGCGAGGUUAAAGCCCUUCAUCUAAAACCACUGAACGUAGGCAGGCACAGAAGACCCCGAUGACUUCAGUUUGGGCACAUAAAAUUUUCUACUAAAGAGAAAAUUCCACUGACACCAGAGGGGGCAACUUUUUAAAAUAAGCAAUGUUAUAUAGAUCAAUAAUAUUUGAUUAGAUACUUCCUUAUAGUUGACCAGGCUCCACCAAGAAAGAUGAAUAGCAAAUCAGAAACACCACCAAAUGGGAAGUAGAUCUAACAUCCUGUUGCCUCUUGGUACAGUCUAUUGCCUGUUCAAAAUGGAGUCUCAUAAAGUCAGGUUACCUUGAAAUUCUCACAUUGAAAUGUUGGAAUUUAUAAUCAUGAGCCAUCAAAUCUAACUUAGUCUCUUUUUCUCCUACAUGCUCAGUGGGUAAGAGCUUGUUGCUCUUGCAGAGGACCAGCACCCACAUGGUGGCUCUCAACUGUCUGUAACUCCAAUUUCUGGGGAUCUGACGCCCUCUCCUGGACUGCACAGGCACUGCAUUCAUAUAACAUACAUCCAUGCACUCAGGGCUGGGACUGCAGGCAAGUGCCAUGUGUCGCCUUAACCAGGACAUGGGAUGCUGGGAUUCAAAACCAAGAAUUCCUGCACAGCGGGCUGAAGGCUGAAGUGGGAGGACGGUGAGCUCUAGGCCAGCCUGGACUACAUAGUGAAACCCAGCCUAAAGAAGAAAAAAUGGCCAGUGUCUUGGAGAAAACUGAGUUUCCAGCAGCUGGUACUCAUGUCCUUGUGACUCAGACAGCUUGGGCUCAUGAGCUCUACUCAGCUGACCUGUCGUAAUCGUCUGGGUAUAAAUUGUCUGAUGUUCUGAAUACAGCCAAGGCACCAAGGAACCCUGCCUGAAAACUUCAGCUCGGACUUCAGACAACUGUGUUACAGCACGUACCAAUUUUACUACACAUCUGACACGUUCUGCUCUUAUAGAAACAUAAUUGUUUAAUUAGAGAAAAUAAAUGUUUUAAUAUUUUCCUACUAUCAUUCUUUAACAUACAAGUACAAAUUAAUCUGUGUUUAAACUGUGUUAUGUUAGAACAUUCAUUUUUAAGUGAAUAUUUUCAAAUAAUAAAUAUUUUCAUUUUGAAAGGAAAAAUUUAAAAAUUAAAGGUGCUGAAUUGAACCA